rnacentral:rRNA from 1 species
UAAUNCCGCAUNCGCUCUACGGAGNAAANCGGGGGAUCUUCGGACCUCGCGCUCAAGGGGCGGCCGAUGACGGAUUAGCUAGUUGGUAGGGUAAAGGCCUACCAAGGCGACGAUCCGUAGCUGGUCUGAGGGGACGACCAGCCACACUGGGANUGAGACACGGCCCAGACUCCUACGGGAGGCAGCAGUGGGGAAUUUUGGACAAUGGGGGCAACCCUGAUCCAGCAAUGCCGCGUGUGUGAAGAAGGCCUUCGGGUUGUAAAGCACUUUUGUCCGGAAAGAAAUCCUCUGGGUUAAUACCCCGGGGGGAUGACGGUACCGGAAGAAUAAGCACCGGCUAACUACGUGCCAGCAGCCGCGGUAAUACGUAGGGUGCGAGCGUUAAUCGGAAUUACUGGGCGUAAAGCGUGCGCAGGCGGUCCGCUAAGACCGAUGUGAAAUCCCCGGGCUUAACCUGGGAACUGCAUUGGUGACUG